CUAUCAGCUUGUUGGUGGGGUAACGGCCCACCAAGGCUUUGACGGAUAGCCGGUCUGAGAGGAUGUACGGCCACACUGGGACUGAGACACUGCCCAGACUCCUACGGGAGGCUGCAGUCGAGAAUCUUUUGCAAUGGGCGAAAGCCUGACAAAGCAACGCCGCGUGAGUGAUGAAGGUCUCGGAUUGUAAAGCUCUGUCACCUGGGACGAAACCGUCCGGCGCUAACAUCGCCGGGCCAGGGGGCAAGCGUUGUUCGGAAUCACUGGGCGUAAAGGGUGCGUAGGUGGUUAUGUAAGUCGGAUGUGAAACUCCCUGGCUCAACCAGGGACCUGCAUUCGAAACUGCAUAGCUUGAGUACGGGGGAAGAGAGUGGAAUUCUCAGUGUAGCGGUGAAAUGCGUAGAUAUUGAGAAGAACACCUGUGGCGAAAGCGGCUCUCUACCUUGAUACUGACACUGAGGCACGAAAGCUAGGGUAGCAAACGGGAUUAGAUACCCCGGUAGUCCUAGCCGUAAACGAUGUACACUGGGUGUAGGAGGUAUCAACCCCUCCUGUGCCGAAGCUAACGCAUUAAGUGUACCGCCUGGGGAGUACGGCCGCAAGGCUAAAACUCAAAGGAAUUGACGGGGGCCCGCACAAGCGGUGGAGCAUGUGGUUUAAUACGACGCAACGCGUAGAACCUUACCAGGGCUUGACAUGUACAUGAAAUCCUUAUGAAAGUAGGGACCUCCUUCGGGACAUGUACACAGGUGUUGCAUGGCUGUCGUCAGCUCGUGUCGUGAGAUGUUGGGUUAAGUCCCGCAACGAGCGCAACCCUUUUCCAUAGUUACCAUCAUUCAGUUGGGGACUCUAUGGAUACUGCCUCGGUUAACGAGGAGGAAGGUGAGGAUGACGUCAAGUCAUUAUGGCCCUUACGCCCUGGGCCACACACGUGCUACAAUGGCCGGUACAAAGGGAUGCCAAACCGCAAGGUGGAGCAAAUCCCAGAAAACCGGCCCCAGUUCGGAUCGAGGGCUGCAACUCGCCCUCGUGAAGUUGGAAUCGCUAGUAAUGGCGGAUCAGCUACGCCGCCGUGAAUACGUUCCCGGGCCUUGUACACACCGCCCGUCACACCACGAGAGCUGAUUGUACC
rnacentral:rRNA from 1 species